rnacentral:misc_RNA from 1 species
CACCAAUCAAGCCCUGCUUGGCAUUAGGUCUUCACGCCCCCGGUCGUCAGACGGCGGGGCGGGCCUCAAAACCUUCGGCGGAGUCUCAUCGACUUUGGGCGUAGCAGAAUUUCUAAAACGUCAAGAGCGCUGAGCCUCCCGCCGCGAAGAACCGGCGGUCGAGAGACCCCAUCUUUUCUCAAA